rnacentral:rRNA from 1 species
AACGAACGCUGGCGGCAGGCUUAACACAUGCAAGUCGAGCGCCCCGUAAGGGGAGCGGCAGACGGGUGAGUAACGCGUGGGAACGCACCCUUUGCUACGGAAUAGCUCCGGGAAACUGGAAUUAAUACCGUAUGUGCCUUACUGGGGCAAGAUUUAUCGGCAAAGGAUCGGCCCGCGUUGGAUUAGCUAGUUGGCGGGAUAAUGGCCUACCAAGGCGACGAGCCAUAGCUGGGCUGAGAGGAUGAACAGCCACAGUGGGACUGAGACACGGCCCAAACUCCUACGGGAGGCAGCAGGGGGGAAUAUUGGACAAUGGGCGCAAGCCUGAUCCAGCCAUGCCGCGUGAGUGAUGAAGGCCUUAGGGUUGUAAAGCUCUUUCACCGGAGAAGAUAAUGACGGUAUCCGGAGAAGAAGCCCCGGCUAACUUCGUGCCAGCAGCCGCCGUAAGAC